rnacentral:tRNA from 1 species
GCGGGGAUAGCUCAGGGGUAGAGCACAACCUUGCCAAGGUUGGGGUCGCGAGUUCGAAUCUCGUUUCCCGCU